CGCAUCUGUGCAUGCAGCAUAUCAAUAAGCGGAGGAAAAGAAACUAACAAGGAUUCCCCUAGUAACGGCGAGUGAAGCGGGAAGAGCUCAAAUUUGAAAUCUUAAAGGGUUUCCCUUUACGAAUUGUAGUUUAAAGAAGUGUUUUCUGUUGAGGUUUUGGUAAAAGUUCUUUGGAAUAGGACAUCAUAGAGGGUGAGAAUCCCGUAUUUGACCUUUACUUUCAACUUUGUGAUACACUUUCGAAGAGUCGGAUUGUUUGGGAAUGCAGUCCAAAAUGGGUGGUAAAUUUCAUCUAAAGCUAAAUAUUGGCGAGAGACCGAUAGCGAACAAGUACCGUGAGGGAAAGAUGAAAAGAACUUUGAAAAGAGAGUUAAACAGUACGUGAAAUUGUCAAAAGGGAAGCGUUUGACACCAGGUGUUGUUUUUCUGAAAAUCAAUUAAAGAACUGUUUAUGCUAAGCUGUUUAGACUUUAUCAGCUAUACUGUUUAGUUUUGAGCUUUUCCUUAAUGCACUUUUCAGUUAACAAGUCAACAUCAAUUUCUUUUGCUGUAAAAAAGCUUGAGGAAGGUGGCUUGAGAUUCGUCUUAAGUGUUUAUAGCCUCUUGCCUAUGCAGUCGGAGAGAUUGAGGUCUGCAGCGUAGAUCCUUCGGGGCUAAAUGCAUUUGUGCUAAGUUAUAGCAUUUUAUAGACAACUUGUUGACUAUGAUUUGUCUUGUAGCUUACUCGCUUAUGUUAUUUUACCUACGCUUAGGAUGUUGAAUCUGUGCGAGACUAC
rnacentral:rRNA from 1 species